GUAGGGUGCAAGCGUUAUCCGGAAUCAUUGGGCGUAAAGAGCUCGUAGGCGGUUCAGCAAGUCGGCUGUGAAAUCCCGAGGCUUAACCUCGGAACUGCAGUCGAUACUGCUGUGACUAGAGUCCGGUAGAGGAGAAUGGAAUUCCCGGUGUAGCGGUGAAAUGCGCAGAUAUCGGGAGGAACACCAGUAGCGAAGGCGGUUCUCUGGGCCGGUACUGACGCUGAGGAGUGAAAGCGUGGGGUAGCAAACAGGAUUAGAUACCCUGGUAGUCCACGCCGUAAACGUUGGACACUAGGUGUGGCGUUCCGACCAACGGGUGCCGUGCCGAAGCUAACGCAUUAAGUGUCCCCGCCUGGGAGUACGGCCGCAAGGCUA
rnacentral:rRNA from 1 species